rnacentral:rRNA from 1 species
UACAGAGGUCCCAAGCGUUGUUUGGAUUCACUGGGCGUAAAGGGUGCGUAGGCGGUCAGGUAAGUCUGAUGUGAAAUCUCUGGGCUUAACCCAGAAAUGGCAUUGGAUACUAUUUGGCUUGAGAGUUGGAGGGGGGACUGGAAUUCUUGGUGUAGCAGUGAAAUGCGUAGAUAUCAAGAGGAACACCAGUGGCGAAGGCGAGUCCCUGGACAACUUCUGACGCUGAGGCACGAAAGCUAGGGGAGCAAACAGG